CCUACGGGAGGCAGCAGUGGGGAAUAUUGCACAAUGGGGGGAACCCUGAUGCAGCGACGCCGCGUGAGUGAAGAAGUAUUUCGGUAUGUAAAGCUCUAUCAGCAGGGAAGAAAAUGACGGUACCUGACUAAGAAGCCCCGGCUAACUACGUGCCAGCAGCCGCGGUAAUACGUAGGGGGCAAGCGUUAUCCGGAUUUACUGGGUGUAAAGGGAGCGCAGACGGCUGUGCAAGUCUGGAGUGAAAGGUGGGGGCCCAACCCCCGGACUGCUCUGGAAACUGUAAAGCUGGAGUGCAGGAGAGGUAAGCGGAAUUCCUAGUGUAGCGGUGAAAUGCGUAGAUAUUAGGAGGAACACCAGUGGCGAAGGCGGCUUACUGGACUGCAACUGACGUUGAGGCUCGAAAGCGUGGGGAGCAAACAGGAUUAGAUACCCGAGUAGUC
rnacentral:rRNA from 1 species